UAAACCUGAAUGGUGCAUUGCUAUGGAAUCUGAAUUUAAGGCAUUAUUGGAUAACAAUACAUGGUCACUUUGUCCACGACCUUCUGCUCAUCACAUUGUUUGUAACAAAUGGGUCUACAAGGUAAAACAAAAAUCAGAUGGUUCUGUUGAUCGAAAUAAAGCAAGAUUGGUAGAGAAUGGGUUUGAUCAGAGAUCUGGGGUAGACUAUUUUGAGACACUCAGUCCAGUUGUAAAACCAGCCACUGUCAGAAUUCUUUUGGCUUUGGCUGUACAAUUCCAUUGGACAACUCAACAACUACAUGUCUCUAAGCUUUUCUACAAGGAUUUCUUGAUGAAGAGAUCUAUAUGAAACAACCCAAGAGGUUUAUUAGUGCUGAACAUCCUGACUAUGUUUGUAAAUUACAUCGCUCUCUUUAUGGCCUUAAACAAGCACCAAGAGCCUGGUUCACUCGUUUCUCUCAAGCACUAUUUGAUCUUGGAUUCUCUUGUUCAUAUGUUGAUUCUUCACUCUUCACAUUUCACAGAGAUAAUCUAUAUAUUUUAAAAUUAGUCUAUGUUGAUGACAUCAUUAUCACCAACAACAAUGAUCCUACAAUUUUCUCUAUUAUUGCCCAGUUGAAGUCUGAAUUUGUGAUGAAAGACUUAGGCAACUUGAGCUAUUUCUUGGGCAUUGAAACUAUUGAUGACUCGUUGGUAGAUCCAUCUGAAUAUCGACAUAUAGUUGGGGCCUUACAAUAUGUUACAAUCACACAAUCGGAUAUCGCUUACUCCGUGAAUCAAUUGUGUCAACAUAUGCCUCCAACUAGCAUUCACUGGAUAGCAGCUAAGAGGGUUCUACGAUAUUUAAAACACACUGUUGACUUCGAUCUUUAUUAUCAACCAAGCACCAUUUCAUUACAUGCGUUUUGCGAUGCAGACUGGGCUAGCAAUCUAGAUAAUAGAAGGUCUUCUAGUGGCUAUGAGAUUUACCUUGGGUAAUGCUUAGUUUCCUGGUCCUCUAAGAAAUAAGUUGUGGUUCCUCGUUCCAAUACCGAGGCAGAAUAUAGGAGCUUGGCAUUAACAACUGUAGAAGUCUACUGGAUAAGAAUGUUUCUACAAGAAUUAUGUAUCUAUUUACCUCAACCUCCUGUUCUUUGUGUGAUAAUCUAAGUACUACGUCGCUGGUAGCUAAUCCUAUUUUCCAUGCUCGAACUAAGCAUAUUGAGGUCGAUUAUCAUUUCAUUAGAGAAAAGGUAGUUAACAAAGAUGUGGUUGUUCGUUACAUCAACACAAAAAAUCAAGUUGCUGACAUCUUCACCAAAGGACACACUGCUGAUCGCUUUUGCAUUUUGCAUGACAAAUUGUUGGUGUGUUCCAUACCCUCCAAUUUGAGGGAAAGUGUUAAAGCACAUAAUACCAAUCCCACCUAAUACCUUGGUUGUAACUGUUAAGGCACAAUAUCAGGCUGAUAUCCUGACUGUAUAUGUCAAUCCUACAUAUUGUGCAGCCUAAUAUUCUAACUGUAAUGGCUUAUUUUUGGGCUAUAGUCUUGCCUAUAACUCUGUAUGUAAUUUUCUGUAAAGCUGCUAUAUAUACAUAAUUAAUAUACAUCGUUUUGCAUCUCGCCAAAAUAGCUUUCUGAAUUUCUUAAUCUUUCAGAUUCCAAU
rnacentral:lncRNA from 1 species